rnacentral:rRNA from 1 species
UACAGUAGGGUGCGAACGUUGUCGGAAUUACUGGGCGUAAAGCGCGUGUAGGCGGCUAAGUAAGUCGGGCGUGAAAUCCCACGGCUCAACCGUGGAAGUGCACUCGAAACUGGAUGGCUAGAGUCCUGGAGAGGAAGGUGGAAUGCUUGGUGUAGAGGUGAAAUUCGUAGAUAUCAAGCGGAACACCGGUGGCGAAGGCGGCCUUCUGGACAGUGACUGACGCUGAGACGGCGAAAGCGUGGGGAGCAAACAGG